UGGAGUUCUGUGGGGGAUUAAAUCCUUUGGAGAUUUGGAGACCUAUCUUAGAGCCAUUGGAUGGAAACAAAAUCCAACGGUUCACUACUUUAAUCAUUAUUGGACAUUUUUUACAAACAAAAAAGGAAAAUAGAUAAUGGGUCUAUGCAGUUCCGUAUCUCCGAGUUGAGAGGUUAUCAAAAUCCCGCAAACAAUUCUCUGAAGCAAAUCCGUCGUUACGGAGCAAUCGCAGCACAAAAUCCGGCUUCCACCUUUCUUCUUCAAAGCACUUUCUUUGUCCUUCACUUCACAUUAACUUGUUCUGUGCGAACUAGUGCGGGACAUAUGACGACCGAGUCGAAAUACAGUACCAAGCUUUUGGGUUCUCGUAUAUUACCUUGAUUUUUUGUUCUGCAUCCUUCUGUGUGAUACCCAUUGUUUANN
rnacentral:lncRNA from 1 species